rnacentral:lncRNA from 10 species
GCGGCGCGCCCAGGGAAGGCAUUUCCAGCCCGCCCACCCAGGUCUCUUCUUCGGCCUUUCUGACAUGGUGCCAGCCCUACUGGAGUCAGCAGGAGUCCAGCACAACAGAUGGUGGUCAGUGGUGACUUCGGCACAGGCAGUUCGUGAGGAGUGGUUGGUGGCCAUGGAGUCCUGACUGGAGUAGGUUAAAAAGAAGGAGGAAAAUCACAAGAAAGAGAGACUGGAGGUGGAGGUUGGGGAGAAAAGAGAUAAUGGUAUGGUG